GAAAACCUCAACCUCCUUGGUUUCUUCUGGAGACCAAAGCAGGCUUGGACUUUGGAGGCCUUUGCUGGCACCUCUCUUUUUGAAGGCCAGCUCCUCUUAAACAAAUUAGCAGGCUCCUCUUUGCUGAUCCUCGACGUGUGAUAAGAUGUUUCCAUGUCUUGAUUUCUGGCUCUGUCACCUUUGGCACCUGCUUCUAACUGUCCGGACCUUGCGUCGAGACAACGUUCGAGCAUGUGCCUCCCUUCUUGGGAAGCUCCCUCGACCCCACGAACCCUUGACCUCAAAUCGGGUGAGACUACCCGCUGAACUUUAAGCAUAUCAAUA
rnacentral:rRNA from 1 species